GGGAACACACAGCAGUUUGCCCCUCAUCAGAGUAAGCACAUCAGACAUUACUUGCACUAACUGCAAUCAUUUCAGAUUCUAUGAAGCUGUGGGGAAAUGUGUUCAUCACACCACUGUACAAUCUACAGAGAUUUCAUUUGGAAGGAAUCCCGUCGAGGUGGUUUGUUUUCUUUCUUUAAUAUCUGCAACAGUCAGAAAAGUGAUGCGAUGCCUGUUCAGCACUACUCAUCAGGAGAAUAGUCUCUAAGAACUGAUGACUUCAAUGAUGGGAACAAGAUGUAAACUUCACUAAAUGUCAUGCGGCCAAAAUAUAACUGUCCUCAGAGCCUGUAACUACAGCUUGAAGACUGUUCAUGAGAAAAGGCAGUUGAAACUGCGUGGACUUUUGAAAGUGCAAGCAUAAGAAGGUAUCUGAAGUUUUGAAAAUCUAAGCAAAGAGUGAGACCCCAAGAAUGAAAUCACUGUGUGUGAUGAAACCCUGUUUUCCUGAAAAUGGCUGAACAUUUGUCUGCAAGUGUGAAGCAAAGAAUGAAUUCCUGACUUUGCUUUGCUUGCACACCCAGGCCUUGCCAGCAGAUAAGAUGGAGUAUGGAGACACCAACUAAUACCUUUUCUUCACAAGAUAUGACGGUAUCAUCCCCCAGUCUCCCAUAGCAGACAGGAGUAAUUUGGUCAUAGGACAGAUCUUCCGCCAGUAAACAGUCCAGUAAACAGUCCUGAGCACUCCCUUUCGAAGGCAAACAGCUCCAAAGAAAUGCUUUCAAGUGUAAAUCAUCCAGACAGUGAUGUUGAUUGCCACAUGACAGCACCCACCUCUCAUCUCAUAGAGUCUUACCAUAAGAAAUACCUCAGGAAACAAGCUUUGAGCCAGAAAACAAAGAAGGAUUCAUACAUGGUGGUAUGGUAGUAGAGGUUGAACCUUCUCACCAAUGUUCCAUUGCACUUUGUUGCCACGUGACAGAUGGCAGCAGAGGGACAGUCUGAUAGAAUGACGUAAGACACAGAAGUGGGUAUGAAGCAAACAAGUGCCACUGAAUUUCUCUGUGCAGAAAAAAUGGUACCCAUUGAUAUUCAUCGACACUUGCGGAAUGUUUUUGGAGACCAAACAAUGGAUGUGAGGAACAACAGCGGGUCACCUCUGCUGCUGCAGACUUUUACUAGCACAGCAUGCAGGCUCUUGUUCAUUGCUAGUGAUAGUACACAACUAAUUGUAGUGACUGCAUUGAAAAAUUGUGUGUUGUAGCUGAGAAUUUGCUCCGUCAAAGAGUGUUAUUAUGUUAUUUGUAUCUGUUGCAGUUUCCAUGGAAAUAAAUAGAUGGCAUUACUUCUGGAACAGCAUAUAUAUUUGGGAGACAGAAAUUCCUGAUGUGUUAUAUGGGAGAUAUGGAAGCUUAAACAAGG
rnacentral:lncRNA from 1 species